UCAUGUACCUUCUAUAAAAUUAGACUGAAUUGAACCUUCAGUAAAUAUAGAGAUACAUCAUCA
rnacentral:sRNA from 1 species